GAUGAAGAACGCAGCGAAAUGCGAUAAGUAAUGUGAAUUGCAGAAUUCAGUGAAUCAUCGAAUCUUUGAACGCACAUUGCGCCCGCCAGUAUUCUGGCGGGCAUGCCUGUUCGAGCGUCAUUACAACCCUCAGGCCCCCGGGCCUGGCGUUGGGGAUCGGCGGAGCCCCCCGUGGGCACACGCCGUCCCCCAAAUGCAGUGGCGGUCCCGCCGCAGCUUCCAUCGCGUAGUAGCUAACACCUCGCGACAGGAGAGCGGCGCGGCCACGCCGUAAAACACCCAACUCUUCUGAAGUUGACCUCGAAUCAGGUAGGAAUACCCGCUGAACUUAAGCUUAUCAAUAAGCGGAGGA
rnacentral:misc_RNA from 1 species